UCAAUCUCUCCUCUCGUCUCUCACCUUCUCUUUCUUCUCUUCUCUGGCCGCCUCUCUUUGUUCUCUUCUCUGUCAAUUUCUCUUCAUCCAGAAGGACUAGAUCGAUGUCCAAGGAGUAGAUCGGGUUGAUGAGUCGUCGGGUUUCGUUUGAAAUCCAAGUAUGGUGCCAUGGUGGUUGACGUCUGAGCGCGACCUUCGCCGUCGCCGAAAGAAGAACCAAAUGGAUUUAUUUUAUGAGAUUUUGGGUAUGGCAUAAAGACUCGUGCUUGAUCAGGAUCUCAAUGGGGUGAGCUUCACACACUGCUAUUACUGCUUUGCCUUAAACAAUGAAUCUUUGUUUGUUUGUUUUUUUUUUUUUUUUUUGAAUUUUUGCUUAUCUGGUUUUGAUGUGAUUGUUUUUCGUUUCACUGUUGCUUGAGUGUGGAGUUGAUAUUAAUCUCAGGAACUAUUAAAAGCAAAGCAAAGCUCUGUCCGAUGCUCUCGGUCAAUUCUCAGGGAAAAUGCCCGUAGGGCUGGAUUGCACCAGUUGGCUUUUUGUGGUUUGUGAGGUUGGGGUUGCAAAAUAAAAUGCAUGACUUGAUCUAUUGCUUGAACAUGUCGAAGUUGCCUUGGGAGAGAUCCACGAGCUCAAGUAGUGAAAUUUGUGUUUACAUGGUAGAAGAGUGAUUUGCUCAGUUUUUUUUUUGUUGUGGUUCUUUCAGUUCUGUA